rnacentral:tRNA from 1 species
GACUCGGUAGCUCAGCUGGAUAGAGCAACGGCCUUCUAAGCCGUCGGUCGCGGGUUCGAAUCCCUUCCGAGUCGCCA